rnacentral:rRNA from 1 species
GACAGAGGGUGCAAACGUUGUUCGGAUUUACUGGGCGUAAAGCGCGUGUAGGCGGCUUGGCAAGUUGAAUGUGAAAGCCCACGGCUCAACCGUGGAAGCGCAUCCAAAACUGCUUCGCUCGAGUCUCGGAGAGGAAGGUGGAAUGCUUGGUGUAGAGGUGAAAUUCGUAGAUAUCAAGCAGAACACCUAUGGCGAAGGCAGCUCUCUGGGACGGUACUGACGCUGAGACGCGAAAGCGUGGGGAGCGAACAGG